rnacentral:pre_miRNA from 1 species
GUAGUACUCCCUCCAUUCGGAAUUACUUGUCACAAAAAUGGAUGUAUCUACAACUAAAAUACAUCUAGAUACAUUCAUUUCUUAGACGAGUAAUUCCGAACGGAGGGAGUAUGUA